rnacentral:rRNA from 1 species
AUACGGAGGGUCCGAGCGUUAAUCGGAAUUACUGGGCGUAAAGCGCGCGUAGGUGGAUGUAUAAGUCAGAUGUGAAAGCCCUGGGCUCAACCUAGGAACUGCAUUUGAAACUGUACGUCUAGAGUAUGCUAGAGGUGAGUGGAAUUUCAGGUGUAGCGGUGAAAUGCGUAGAGCUCUGAAGGAACAUCAGUGGCGAAGGCGACUCACUGGGCCAUUACUGACACUGAGGUGCGAAAGCGUGGGUAGCAAACAGGAUUAGAAACCCUAGUAGUCC